AUCUCGAGGUCGAUCAAAGGUCAAGUUCAAAUAUAAGCCAAUCAAAGACUUUUAACAUCUCGAGGUCCAACAAAGAUCGAGUUCAAAUAUAAACCAAUCAAAAGCUUUUAAUAUCUCGAGAUCGAUCACAGGUCGAGUUCAAAUAUAAGCCAAUCAAAAACUUUUAACAUCUCAAGAUCGAUCAAAGGCCGAGUGCAAAUAUAAGCCGAUCAAAGACUUUUAACAUCUCAAGGCCA
rnacentral:lncRNA from 1 species